rnacentral:rRNA from 1 species
AGAGUUUGAUUCUGGCUCAGAUUGAACGCUGGCGGCGUGCUUAACACAUGCAAGUCGAACGUGAAAGUCCUUCGGGAUGAGUAAAGUGGCGCACGGGUGAGUAACGCGUGGAUAAUCUACCCUUAAGAUGGGGAUAACGGCUGGAAACGGUCGCUAAUACCGAAUACGCUCCCGAUUUUAUCAUUGGGGGGAAAGAUGGCCUCUGCUUGCAAGCUAUCGCUUAAGGAUGAGUCCGCGUCCCAUUAGCUCGUUGGCGGGGUAACGGCCCACCAAGGCGACGAUGGGUAGCCGGUCUGAGAGGAUGACCGGCCACACUGGAACUGGAACACGGUCCAGACUCCUACGGGAGGCAGCAGUGGGGAAUAUUGCGCAAUGGGCGAAAGCCUGACGCAGCGACGCCGCGUGAGGGAUGAAGGUUCUCGGAUCGUAAACCUCUGUCAGGGGGGAAGAAACCCCCUCGUGUGAAUAAUGCGAGGGCUUGACGGUACCCCCAAAGGAAGCACCGGCUAACUCCGUGCCAGCAGCCGCGGUAAUACGGAGGGUGCAAGCGUUAAUCGGAAUCACUGGGCGUAAAGCGCACGUAGGCGGCCCGGUAAGUCAGGGGUGAAAUCCCACAGCCCAACUGUGGAACUGCCCUUGAUACUGCCGGGCUUGAGUACCGGAGAGGGUGGCGGAAUUCCAGGUGUAGGAGUGAAAUCCGUAGAUAUCUGGAGGAACACCGGUGGCGAAGGCGGCCACCUGGACGGUAACUGACGCUGAGGUGCGAAAGCGUGGGUAGCAAACAGGAUUAGAUACCCUGGUAGUCCACGCCGUAAACGAUGGGUGCUGGGUGCUGGGAUGUAUGUCUCGGUGCCGUAGCUAACGCGAUAAGCACCCCGCCUGGGGAGUACGGCCGCAAGGCUGAAACUCAAAGAAAUUGACGGGGGCCCG